rnacentral:rRNA from 1 species
UACGUAGGGGGCAAGCGUUGUCCGGAUUUAUUGGGCGUAAAGAGCGUGUAGGCGGCUAGAUAGGUCCGUUGUGAAAAACUCGAGGCUCAACCUCGAGACGUCGAUGGAAACCAUCUGGCUAGAGUCCGGAAGAGGAGAGUGGAAUUCCUGGUGUAGCGGUGAAAUGCGCAGAUAUCAGGAAGAACACCCGUGGCGAAGGCGGCUCUCUGGUACGUGACUGACGCUGAGACGCGAAAAGCGUGGGGGAGCAAACAGG